rnacentral:rRNA from 1 species
GAUGAACGCUGGCGGCGUGCUUAACACAUGCAAGUCGAACGGAAAGGCCCAAGCUUGCUUGGGUACUCGAGUGGCGAACGGGUGAGUAACACGUGGGUGAUCUGCCCUGCACUUCGGGAUAAGCCUGGGAAACUGGGUCUAAUACCGGAUAGGACCACAUUUUGGAUGGUGUGGUGGAAAGUUUUUCGGUGUGGGAUGAGCUCGCGGCCUAUCAGCUUGUUGGUGGGGUAAUGGCCUACCAAGGCGUCGACGGGUAGCCGGCCUGAGAGGGUGUACGGCCACAUUGGGACGGAGAUACGGCCCAGACUCCUACGGGAGGCAGCAGGGGGGAAUAUGGCAAAAUGGGCGCAAGCCUGAUGCAGCGACGCCGCGUGGGGGAUGACGGCUUUCGGGUUGUAAACUCCUUUCGCUAGGGACGAAGCGUUUUUGUGACGGUACCUGGAGAAGAAGCACCGGCUAACUACGUG